AGUGAACGUUGGCGGCGUGCCUAACACAUGCAAGUCGAACGCUUCUUGGAGGGCAACUUCCAAGAUGAGUGGCGAACGGGUGAGUAACACGUGGGUAAUCUCCCCUCGAGUGAGGAAUAAGCCCGCGAAAGCGGGUCUAAUACCGCAUGAUACCCUGGGGCAUAAGCUUCCAGAGUCAAAGCCUUCGGGUGCUUGGGGAUGAGCCUGCGGCCUAUUAGCUAGUUGGUAGGGUAAUGGCCUACCAAGGUUAUGAUGGGUAGCCGGCCUGAGAGGGUGUACGGCCACACUGGGACUGAGACACGGCCCAGACUCCUACGGGUGGCAG
rnacentral:rRNA from 1 species